rnacentral:rRNA from 1 species
UACGUAGGGGGCAAGCGUUGUCCGGAAUCAUUGGGCGUAAAGCGCGCGUAGGCGGCUCGCUCAGUCUGCUGUAAAAGUCAAAGGCUCAACCUUUGAAUGCCGGUGGAUACUGUCGGGCUAGAGUCCGGAAGAGGCGAGUGGAAUUCCUGGUGUAGCGGUGGAAUGCGCAGAUAUCAGGAGGAACACCAACGGCGAAGGCAGCUCGCUGGGACGGUACUGACGCUAAGGCGCGAAAGCGUGGGGAGCGAACAGG